AAGUUUUUCUCGAUAAUAUACAAUAGUACAAUUCUGUCUUUCAUGAAAAAAUGUUAUAACAGAAAACUACACACUUUCCAUCUAUUUGUUUUUAUUUGUUAUUAUUUAUUACUGACACGGUCAAAACUAAAAAAUAUUAUGGGUAAAAAAUGACACGAGCAACGCUGGACGGAACAGCUAGUAUAUAUAUAAAUGUUUUACAUCUUAAUGUAGAUAAUAACACUGCAAACGUACCAUGAACACAAAGACUCGAAAUUGUAUAGUGUAUACAUAUAUAUUUUAUUAUUGCUGUAAUGACUAUAGCUAUAAGGUAGAUUUUUUUAGAGGAAAUUUUACCUGGAUGGUACUUUAAGCCACGUUUGGGAACCGAACCGCUCGUGAAGUGUUUGUGUCUAUGUCCAUUAAUGCUAAUUAUAUACUUGCGAUUUGUUCACGAACCAAUACCGACAAUGAACCAACAACUAACAAAUUACACUAGGUUCACGUUUGACACGCCGCCGUCUCAAUUAUUGUUUCUAUCGGUUCACGAUAGGUUCAGUUUGCACAUGUAUAUGCAGCUUUAAGUUGGUCGUUUUUUUGAUUUUUUUAGCGGUUUUCAUAAUAAAUUUCAAAAAACGUAAAAUAAACGAAAACAUUUACGAAAUGUAUUAUUUUCAAUUUGGUUUUUUUAUUAUGAUCCAAUUUAAAAUAUUUGUAUAGACUUGAAAUUUGGAA